GAUGAACGCUGGCGGCGUGCCUAAUACAUGCAAGUCGAGCGAACGGACGAGGAGCUUGCUCCUCUGACGUUAGCGGCGGACGGGUGAGUAACACGUGGAUAACCUACCUAUAAGACUUGGAUAACUUCGUGAAACCGGAUCUAAUACCGGAUAAUAUAUUGAACCGCAUGGUUCAAUAGUGAAAGACGGUUUUGCUGUCACUUAUAGAUGGAUCCGCGCCGCAUUAGCUAGUUGGUAAGGUAACGGCUUACCAAGGCAACGAUGCGUAGCCGACCUGAGAGGGUGAUCGGCCACACUGGAACUGAGACACGGUCCAGACUCCUACGGGAGGCAGCAGUAGGGAAUCUUCCGCAAUGGGCGAAAGCCUGACGGAGCAACGCCGCGUGAGUGAUGAAGGUCUUCGGAUCGUAAAACUCUGUUAUUAGGGAAGAACAUAUGUGUAAGUAACUAUGCACGUCUUGACGGUACCUAAUCAGAAAGCCACGGCUAACUACGUG
rnacentral:rRNA from 1 species